AUACGUAGGGUGCGAGCGUUGUCCGGAAUUACUGGGCGUAAAGAGCUCGUAGGUGGUUUGUCGCGUCGUCUGUGAAAUUCCGGGGCUUAACUCCGGGCGUGCAGGCGAUACGGGCAUAACUUGAGUACUGUAGGGGAGACUGGAAUUCCUGGUGUAGCGGUGAAAUGCGCAGAUAUCAAGAGGAACACCGGUGGCGAAGGCGGUGCGCUGGGCAGUAACUGACGAGGGGGAGCGAAAGCAUGGGUAGCGAACAGGAUUAGAUACCCUGGGAGUCCAUGCCGUAAACGGUGGGCGCUAGGUGUAGGGGUCUUCCACGACUUCUGUGCCGUAGCUAACGCAUUAAGCGCCCCGCCUGGGGAGUACGGCCGCAAGGCUAAAACUCAAAGGAAUUGACGGGG
rnacentral:rRNA from 1 species